UAUAUAUAAAACACAUUUUCCUGUUAAAUUCAGUUUAAGUUUAGCUUUUAAAACAAUUUAUCAUGGACCUGAAAGCAAUGCAAUUGUUUGUUUUAUUGAUGCUUACUUUACUAGUGACUAUAACAGAACAGAGAGGGUGCGAAAAUCCUAAAAUCUCACAGGAAGCCUGCCGUUACCCAAAGUAAAGUUCCCGCAAGCAGGGGGAAAGGGCUGAAUGGUUUGGGUAACUCAUCGAGAAUUUUCAAAUGGCAAUCAACGAAUGAAUUUUUAAAUAAUGUUCCAUUUCAACUAAUAUAAAAUGUUCAUCAAAUAUAUAAUGAAAGAAAUCUGAAUAAAUAUUAAGUUACUACCAUCAGCAACAAAGA